CCAGGUAGCUCAGUCGGUAGAGCAGGGGACUGAAAAUCCCCGUGUCGGUGGUUCGAUUCCACCCCUGGC
rnacentral:tRNA from 1 species